rnacentral:lncRNA from 1 species
CACCCAGGUCCCCAUCCUGGUGGCCCCUUGGGUCAGAGCUUAGACAUCAGACUUAAUCCACUCUGGGAAGAAAAUCAGGAAGCCUGCUCUCUCCUCCGCUUAUCAAGACAGUUUCCGUGUUCCUAAGAUGCCAUGCAUCCUCUGCCAUGGAGUUGUGACCAGAAACUUGCCACUGCCAUCUGGUUGGUGUCAUGUUAGGAUCCACUGAGAACAAAUGGGAAUAUGUGGCAGGACUGUUCAUUGCUGUGACCAACAAAGUGACAGCUUUGAAAAUGGUGCUCAGCCUCAUUAACCCAAAUGGAGUUAGCCGUGGUCCUUGCCUAAGGGAUGGCAGUAAGCUUUAGCCAAUGCCACCUCAUGCCCACUACCUGGUGUCCAGGAGGUGGCAGGCUUGGUGAGCACAGGGGACCUCCAGCAGACUUUCCUCCUGCCUCUGGGAUAUCUGGGAUGGAGUCUUUGCCAUUACUGGCAGCAGUGGCUCCCAGGUACCCCAGUCCUGAUCUGCACCCACUGACAACUAUGUCAGGCCAGGCCCCACCUGUACCCCACCUGAGGGCCAAGAGAAGGCUGAGUCACCACUGGACACAAACCCAACCCACUGGAACUUGUAAGGCACAUUUUCCUGAGCAUGGUAUGACUUCCCCCUCCUUCUUCCCGGUUUAGUUCAGGGGCCCUUGUGUCUGAGAUUCCCACCACAUGAUAACCACGGGCUUUAGUGUGCAUCGAGUCCCUCAGAGGGUCUGUGAAGAUGCAGGGUGUGGGGCAGAGCCUGAGAAUAUGCAUUUCCCAGUUUCUGAUGCUGUGGGGCUGCAGGGCCAGGCCUUGCUGAGUGACUGUGCUGUGCAGGUUCCAGAUAGUGCAGGGGAGGACAAGGGGCAAGGAGGCUGCUGGGCUCUGGUUGGGGUGUUGCAAAGGGAUUGCUGAGUCUCCCCAGCUGGGCCUCCCCCCCAGAAAUGGGGUGACCCAUGGGCCAGCUAAGGACCAACACAGCUACGCCAGCCAUGGACUGGGCUCUGGAGCCACUGAGUCACGCAGGUCAUGCUGAGUCUCUCUCUUUCCUGGGGAUUGGGAGCAGUAAGGAGAGGGGGUAGGGAGUCACUCAGGGACAGGGUGGAUGGUCCCUCCCGCAGCACAUGAUCUGCAUCCCGUCCCAGGCCCUGUCACGGACACACCCAGGCUGUCACGUGCCUGGCAGCAUCAGUCACCUUCAGCCUCCUGGUGAGUGGCUCUGAGGACCGCACCUGCAUCCUGUGGGACCUGGACCACCUUGUGCAUGUGGUGCGUCUGCCUGCCCACCGGAAGGGCAUCUCGGCCAUCGCCAUCAGUGAUGUCUCGGGCACCAUCGUCUCCUGUGCAGGUCCCCACUUGUCCCUGUGGGAUGUGAAUGGACAACCCCUGGCCAGCAUCACCACAGCCUCGGGCCCGGAAGGAGCCAUAACCUGCUGCUGCAUGGUGGAGGGACCAACAUGGGACCCAAGCCACGUCGUUGUCACAGGCAGUCAAGACGGCAUGGUUCGGAUUUGGAAGACUGAGGAUGUGAAGAUGUCUGUUCCCCAGCAGGCAGCAGCAGAGGAGCCCUGCAUGCGGCCUCCACAGCCCCAGAGGUCACAAGUGGCAGAAGAACCUCGCCCUGUGCCGGGAGCUAGAUGUCAAUCUGGCUUUGACAGGAAAGCCCAGCAAGGCCAGCCCUGCGGUGACAGCUCUGGCCGCCUCUAGGAACCAGCCGAAGCUCCUGGUUGGCGAUGAGAAGGGGAGAAUAUUCUGCUGGUCUGCAGAUGGGUAGGCUGCAGCAGGGGCUCUGGCAUGCAACCUUAUGUGGUACCCAGCAGUGGAAAUGAUCAGGGCCUUUGGGGGCCCCCUCUCCCCAGGGCAUUUGAGGAAGGGGCCUCUGCCCAUCAGUGCUCCAUACCCCAAACUGUCCCUGUGGCCCGUGGGAGGACUCUAGACAGGCUACAAAAACACAUGUAUGCUGGACACUGACCUGUGGGUGACAAGACACACAGGAAAUGCACAUGACUCUGCUAUUCCACUGAGAAAAAUGGGGCGGGUUACUGGAAACUGUCUGGUGUGUUUAUUUUAUUAAAGCAACUAUUUUCCCAGUGUCAGAACCUGAGUUUGAAAUCACUGCUCUCUUCUUCUCUGGUGUCCUCAUCUCACCUCACCUGGGCCAGAGAGCCCCGAGCAGUGAGUCAAGAGAGUCACCCACUGCUGGUGGAGGGAAGUCGGGCUAGGGUG